UCCGGUUUGUCACCGGCAGUCCUCUGUGAGUGCCCACCCGAAGUGCUGGCAACACAGAGCAAGGGUUGCGCUCGUUGCGGGACUUAACCCAACAUCUCACGACACGAGCUGACGACAACCAUGCACCACCUGUCACCCUGCUCCGAAGAGAAGCCAUGUUUCCAUGGCGGUCAGGGGAUGUCAAGCCCUGGUAAGGUUCUUCGCGUUGCAUCGAAUUAAACCACAUGCUCCACCGCUUGUGCGGGCCCCCGUCAAUUCCUUUGAGUUUCAGCCUUGCGGCCGUACUCCCCAGGCGGAGUGCUUAUUGUGUUUACUGCGGCACUGGAGGGGUCGAUACCCCCAACACCUAGCACUCAUCGUUUACGGCUGGGACUAC
rnacentral:misc_RNA from 1 species